CUUCCCUCUGGCGGCGUGCCUAAUCCAUGCAAGUCGAGCGAACAGACGAGGAGCUUGCUCCUCUGACGUUAGCGGCGGACGGGUGAGUAACACGUGGAUAACCUACCUAUAAGACUGGGAUAACUUCGGGAAACCGGAGCUAAUACCGGAUAAUAUAUUGAACCGCAUGGUUCAAUAGUGAAAGACGGUUUUGCUGUCACUUAUAGAUGGAUCCGCGCCGCAUUAGCUAGUUGGUAAGGUAACGGCUUACCAAGGCAACGAUGCGUAGCCGACCUGAGAGGGUGAUCGGCCACACUGGAACUGAGACACGGUCCAGACUCCUACGGGAGGCAGCAGUAGGGAAUCUUCCGCAAUGGGCGAAAGCUUGACGGAGCAACGCCGCGUGAGUGAUGAAGGUCUUCGGAUCGUAAAACUCUGUUAUUAGGGAAGAACAAAUGUGUAAGUAACUAUGCACGUCUUGACGGUACCUAAUCAGAAAGCCACGGCUAACUACGUG
rnacentral:rRNA from 1 species